AGAGUUUGAUCAUGGCUCAGAUUGAACGCUGGCGGCAGGCCUAACACAUGCAAGUCGAACGGUAACAGGAAGAAGCUUGCUUCUUUGCUGACGAGUGGCGGACGGGUGAGUAAUGUCUGGGAAACUGCCUGAUGGAGGGGGAUAACUACUGGAAACGGUAGCUAAUACCGCAUAACGUCGCAAGACCAAAGAGGGGGACCUUCGGGCCUCUUGCCAUCGGAUGUGCCCAGAUGGGAUUAGCUAGUAGGUGGGGUAACGGCUCACCUAGGCGACGAUCCCUAGCUGGUCUGAGAGGAUGACCAGCCACACUGGAACUGAGACACGGUCCAGACUCCUACGGGAGGCAGCAGUGGGGAAUAUUGCACAAUGGGCGCAAGCCUGAUGCAGCCAUGCCGCGUGUAUGAAGAAGGCCUUCGGGUUGUAAAGUACUUUCAGCGGGGAGGAAGGGAGUAAAGUUAAUACCUUUGCUCAUUGACGUUACCCGCAGAAGAAGCACCGGCUAACUCCGUGCCAGCAGCCGCGGUAAUACGGAGGGUGCGAGCGUUAAUCGGAAUUACUGGGCGUAAAGCGCACGCAGGCGGUUUGUUAAGUCAGAUGUGAAAUCCCCGGGCUCAACCUGGGAACUGCAUCUGAUACUGGCAAGCUUGAGUCUCGUAGAGGGGGGUAGAAUUCCAGGUGUAGCGGUGAAAUGCGUAGAGAUCUGGAGGAAUACCGGUGGCGAAGGCGGCCCCCUGGACGAAGACUGACGCUCAGGUGCGAAAGCGUGGGGAGCAAACAGGAUUAGAUACCCUGGUAGUCCACGCCGUAAACGAUGUCGACUUGGAGGUUGUGCCCUUGAGGCGUGGCUUCCGGAGCUAACGCGUUAAGUCGACCGCCUGGGGAGUACGGCCGCAAGGUUAAAACUCAAAUGAAUUGACGGGGGCCCGCACAAGCGGUGGAGCAUGUGGUUUAAUUCGAUGCAACGCGAAGAACCUUACCUGGUCUUGACAUCCACGGAAGUUUUCAGAGAUGAGAAUGUGCCUUCGGGAACCGUGAGACAGGUGCUGCAUGGCUGUCGUCAGCUCGUGUUGUGAAAUGUUGGGUUAAGUCCCGCAACGAGCGCAACCCUUAUCCUUUGUUGCCAGCGGUCCGGCCGGGAACUCAAAGGAGACUGCCAGUGAUAAACUGGAGGAAGGUGGGGAUGACGUCAAGUCAUCAUGGCCCUUACGACCAGGGCUACACACGUGCUACAAUGGCGCAUACAAAGAGAAGCGACCUCGCGAGAGCAAGCGGACCUCAUAAAGUGCGUCGUAGUCCGGAUUGGAGUCUGCAACUCGACUCCAUGAAGUCGGAAUCGCUAGUAAUCGUGGAUCAGAAUGCCACGGUGAAUACGUUCCCGGGCCUUGUACACACCGCCCGUCACACCAUGGGAGUGGGUUGCAAAAGAAGUAGGUAGCUUAACCUUCGGGAGGGCGCUUACCACUUUGUGAUUCAUGACUGGGGUGAAGUCGUAACAAGGUAACCGUAGGGGAACCUGCGGUUGGAUCACCU
rnacentral:rRNA from 1 species